GAAAUUCCUGAAUGUAAUUUAGUGGCAGCUAUCAUCUCCCAUUUGUCACCUAUGUGGAGAAUCUUGGAUACAAAGGAUAAGUACGUACAAAUAUUGUGACUGUUACAUUGUGAGCAUUUAAUC